CGCUCAAACUGCAGUAGCAACGCCAGGGCGGGGGCACUGCCAAGUUGCACACCACCUUGACAAAGCCACCGAGUCCUGGAACCUGCACUCCGACUUCACCACAGAAACUCUGCAAAAAUCCAAAACUUUUCCUUGCAAUUGCGCCUUUAUCAUCAUCUCAGGAGGGGUAAUGAUGGUGGAUGUGGGUGUCAUCAACAAGAUGAGUAUUUAUCGCCAUCCCCGACAGCCCUUGAGAGGCACGAGGAGAAGCCGAAUCUGACCUUGUUGGAGCCAUAAGACACUAAAGAUACUGGAAUCUUGAGCAAAAAACAAACCUGCCGGAGAACUCAGCAGAUGCUGCUGCACCCGCUGAGUUUCUCCAGCGUUUUUGUGUACCUUCGAUUUUCCAGCAUCUGCAGUUCCUUCUUAAACACUAUUAACGAUGCCACUGUGUUCUGUGCAUUGCAUGACUUGACUAAGAUGACUGAGGAAGAAUCGAUGGACGUUUUGGACAGGGCACCAAUAUGGACAAAGCGCUGUUUUAUUGGGUGGAUAAUGCCUCCAUGUGUUCAUUCUAACUUGCAUAAUAUGAUGUAUUGAAACAAAACUUCAAACGUACAGAUGAUAGUUGGCAGGCGUUGAUAAAUGCAUGGGUCAAAUGUGACCGCUUACUCUAUUAGCACUUGCUCUGUAAUUAUUUGGAAUCUUCAAAGCCCCUAAUCUUAAUUGGAUCUUUCCUCGUCCUCGCAAUAACUGGUUAAAUUACUGCUCCCUUUUUUCUGCACCAUUUAAGUGAUUUACCCUCAAGGUAAUAAUGCUGCCUCCAGUUAGCCACAGUUAAUCAGUGUAAAAACGAAUGUUCUUUGGGAGAACGCCUGUUAGCAAUCAGCAACAGGGGAGUUGGUGGGGAAAUCCUACAUUGGGGUGACAGAGCAAAACAUUUUGAGGUAAGAAAAAGAUAGAUGUGAUGAAUAAUAAGACAGUAGUGUUCGAGGAGGUGCAUAUAUCUGAGGGAAAACAAGAGAGAAGUGAAUAAAGAGAUGGCUGAAUGUAUUUAGUUAUUUUCUUACCUGGAGAGUUCUGCUGAAUUGAAAAUUGUAUUUUAACCAUUAUCUCCAGCAGAAUUGCUUUAGAUGCACAUUAAACGGGGAGCUGAGCAAUUACUGCCUAGAAACUAAAAUCACCAAUUUAGUCAGUCAAUGAAGUAGAUCAUAUUAACUACAGGCAGAUUGCCACUGUGGAAUAAUCUGAACCACUGUUGCUACUGUGCACCGUAUCAGAAUCCAACCAGUUACCAUUACAAUAAUGGACUUUUAUGAAUAAAUUAAAGAUAAUUUUUAUUUUUUUUAAUUGCAUCUGCUGUGUAAUUAAAACUUUUUUGCAAUGCAUUACAAUUUAUCCCAAUGCAAUGCAAUUGAGGUGUUCCAUAUUGAUAAAGAACAUCUAACAAGCUUUUUAAUAAUCAUUAUGUUAUUGAAUUGCAUUGAACUGAAUGGUCCUAUUGAUUUUUUCCAGUUGAACGUAUUCAUUCUGAAAAUAAAAUGACGUUUGUUUCAUCCGAUGAAAAUGUCUGCGGAAACAAAAAAUAAUUUAACUUGCAGAACUGAAUACUUUCACAUGUAUAUAUUAAUGGCAUCAGUGCUCAAGGGGGUGAAGCACCAAUGUGAGAAUUGCAAGCCCAAAGAAAGCAAAACAACUGUUGGCCCAGUGGAAGAUUAGGACUGGAACUGGAAUAGGCUCUGGCUGGGUCUGAAGAAGGGUCUCGACCCGAAACAUCACCCAUUCCUUCUAUCCAGAGAUGCUGCCUGCUCUUCUGAGUUGCUCUAGUAUUUUGUGUCUAUCCUAGCUGGAUAUUUUCAGGGGAAUGAUGAAGGGACAUUCUCAGCUCAAUUAUUGAGAUUCCUCCGUAUGUGACCCUGUGCUAGAGACCACCCACAGAUAGGAAACAGACUAACCUUUCAUCUGAAUGUUCCUUGAACCUUGAAGGAUCUGAAGCCUCUCCGGACCAUAGUCCUGCAAUCAGAAAUUCAUCUUCUGUUGAAUGUCUUAUUUGACCCUUCAAGUAGUACAGGGAUUAGGCAUGGCAUUUCAGCUUAUGGUCUUUAUGAUAAUAGAGAUGAUGGAAUAUGAGGGCAAGACCGGUCUAUAAAAUUAUGGGAAUAGGAUGUCCUGUAAACUUAGCAUCCUGAAGAGAAAAACUUAUUUGGACAGAUUCAAUACUAAUUUACAAAAGGCAGUUUGUUCUAUGACCAGUAGCCUCCUUGUGAUCUGGUAUUUUAUUUACUUCUUCACAUGUUUAAAUUAUAAUGUUUUAUUUUUAAUUGUCUACUGUAUAUCGUGUUGUUACUUGCGAGCAAAGCACCAAGGCAAAUUUCUUGUAUGUA